rnacentral:rRNA from 1 species
CGCGUAGGCGGUGUCUUAAGUGGGAUGUGCAAUCCCCGAGCUUAACUUGGGAACUGCAUCCCAGACUGGGACGCUGGAGUACUGGAGAGGGUGGUAGAAUUCCACGUGUAGCGGUGAAAUGCGUAGAGAUGUGGAGGAAUACCAGUGGCGAAGGCGGCCACCUGGACAGUAACUGACGCUGAGGCGCGAAAGUGUGGGUAGCAAACAGGAUUAGAUACCCUGGUAGUCCACGCUGUAAACGAUGAACACUUGGUGUGGUGGGAGUUGACCCCCGCCGUGCCGUAGCUAACGCGAUAAGUGUUCCGCCUGGGGAGUACGGUCGCAAGGCUGAA